GACGAACGCUGGCGGCGUGCCUAACUCAUGCAAGUCGUACGGUAAGGCCCUUUCGGGGGUACACGCUUGGCUAACGGGUGGGUAACACGUGCGUAACCUACCCCCCACUUUGGGAUAACGCUAGGAAACUGGUUCUAAUACUGGCUAUGUGUUCUUGCUCCAUGCUGUGUGUUGGAAAGCUCCGGCGGUUGUGGAUGGACUCGCGGCCUAUCUGCUUGUUGGUGGGGUAGUGGCCUACCUAGGCGGCGACGGGUCGCCGGCCUGAGAGGGUGACCGGCCACAAUGGGACUGAGGUACGGCCCAGACACCUAAGGGAGGCAGCAGGGGGGAAUAUUGCACAAUGGGCGCAAGGCUGAUGCAGCAACGCCGCGGGCGGGAAGACGGCCUUCGGGUUGUAAACCGCGUUCAGCAGGGACGAAACGUUGUGUGACGGUACCUGCAGAAGAAGCACCGGCUAACUACGUG
rnacentral:rRNA from 1 species